UUAACUCAAAUUUGUAUGGAGUUGGAACCUUUGCCUACGGUUGCCGCUGAGGACACUGUUCCAAGAGCAUACAAAUUUGAGUUA
rfam:Bombyx mori DNA, contig: Bm_scaf54_contig27418, strain: p50T/Dazao, build 2, whole genome shotgun sequence.